CUGAAUCCGUAUCAAAAACAC
rnacentral:piRNA from 1 species